CAUGCACCUGAGAACAAGAGAUCAGACUUAGACUGUUGGAUUUGCUUCUUACCAGCUUGUGAAGCAUUGAGCAAAAUGCUUAAAUCCUCCAGGCCUCAGUUUCCCCUCUAUUAAAUGGAGAUUGCUAUCUACCUCAUAGGGCUAGAGUGAGGAUUAAAGGAAUUAAUUCCUAUUAAAUGCUUCGAAGAGUUGCUGACACAUAGUAGUGCUCAGUAAAUGGCUUAGGAUCUGCAGUAAUAUCCCAACAUUUCAGCUCCAGGACAGCCGGCUUGACUCAGAAUCUUAGAAGCAGCUCAUCAACAGGGAUCAGAUCAUCGAGGAAGAGCUUGGCAGGGCUGGCUGGGCUCACUCAUUAGUCUACAGUUUGGCUGGGCUUGCUCACGUGUCUACAGGGCACUCAGCUAAUUUUGAAAAAGGAAGAAAUGAAUGUUCACUUGGAAGCCAAAAUGCUGUGAAACUGAGGCUGCGACACCUUGGUUUCUUCUUUAAAGUGGGAGUUAUCAGACCGAAUUUCACUACUUCUGAGGAUUGUGGAGCAGGAGGAAUGAGCUAAUAGGCUCUACUGCUGUGAUUUCCACACUUGGUCUUGCCUCAGAAUCACCUGAAGUGCUUCCUCAGUAUCCAGCUUCCUGGGCGCUAUCUCCAGAGAUUCUGGUUCGUUGGUCCGGAAUGACAAGCCAAGGGGCGUCUACAUUGAUAAACAAACUCCAGAGAGCCCAUUCAAGAAUUACCUGAGUUGUUCCCUUGGAAAACCAUGGCCUAAGAAGAUCCAAUGAGCGUCACAAGAUGGAUGAAGUCCAAGUAGCUUUCUUAAGACAAGCGGUGGAAGCCACAUGGUGAGGAUGGUGGAGCAAUGAAACAUAAGAUGUCACCUUACUAGUCUUGGACUGCUUACUUCUGGAUUCUGCUAUAUGAGAGACAAAUAGACCUCUAUAUUGUCUGAGCUCUGUUAUUUCAGAUUUUUUGUCUUUCAGAGUUGACAUAAAUCUUAACUGAUGUAAGAUCACACAGCUAGUUACUAGUACAGCUGAGCUUUAAGCUCAGUUCUUUUGACUCCAAAUUCAGUUGUUUUUAUUUUGCUUCGUCGCAACUGGCAUCUUCACUUGCCUUACUUACAGAGCUUCUGUGAAAAUGAAAUGAGGAAACAG
rnacentral:lncRNA from 1 species